UAGCAGAGGAAAUCAAAUUGAAGAAGUGGAAGAAGAAAAGCCGAGGCGAAAACGACUGGUGCACAAUCUCAAUGUCUUACUUGGAAGAAAGACCCACUUGCCCCUCCGAUUGCUUCUCAAAACUCGUCGGACUCUCUCUUGCCUGAGACGCCGGCGCCGGCAACGACCAAACCGCCAUCGGCGUCUGUACCAUCUCUCCCUUUUUAUGUUUUCAGAUUCUGGGAAAAGUGGGGAGAAUGAUGGAAAGUUGGAAACGAAGAAUACGAAUAGAUUGGUGAAGAUGAAGAUGAGGAUGAAGAUGAGAAGGGUUUAAUCUUUUUCAAAUAAUAUUGGUCGUGUCAAUCGAAGAACAAAUAUUAUUUUCCAUCUACAUUUAUAAAAGAUAUCGGUCUGAAUUU